UCACAGGAGCCUUCAUACAGCAUGGAGUCCUUGGUGCUGCUCCUCUGCCUGGUGGCGGCUCCCUGCUGUGUCCUGUCCCAGGUGCAGCUGCAGGAGUCAGGACCUGGCCUGGUGAAGCCUUCAGAGACCCUGUCCCUCACCUGCACAGUCUCUGGAUUCUCUUUAACUAGUUAUGGUGUAAGCUGGGUCCGUCAGCCUCCAGGGAAGGGACUGGAGUGGAUCGGUGUGAUAUGGGGUAAUGGAAAUACAGAGUAUAACUCAGCCCUUCAAUCUCGAGUGAGCAUCGGCAGGGACACUUCCAAGAGCCAAGUCUCACUGUCAUUGAGAAGCCUGAGAUCUGAGGACACAGCCGUGUAUUACUGUGCAAGAGACACAGUGAUGGGAAAUCAGUGUGAGCCCAGACGCAAACCUCCCUGCAGGGGCUCCCAGGAGACAGGGGGCAGGCAGGACACACUGAGCUCUUGUUGGGCCCAGGACCAGGUGCAGGAUCCUGGGUCUGCGUUGCUGUUAAGAGUCUGUGGUUUUCUCUUCCUGUCCCCAACUUUGCUAAAGACUCUCUAG